GUGCGAUAUCUAGUGCGAUUUGCAUGAAUCUGUGAGUCAUCGAGUUUUUGAACGCAACUUGCGCCCAGUAAUGGGCAUGUCUGUUUGAGUACCGCAUACCAUAAUGCCUAGUGCGAUUUGAUUACUAGCAGGUGGCCUGGACUAUUACUACUCCUUGCGUGCUGCUGUGUAUCUAAAUGGAUGUUUACACUCUUGUGAGGGUGUGUCACGCUAGAGACGUCAAGUCUUUCUUUUGACAACCCCUCAGUACAUCAAUAUUGGUCUCAAAUCAGGCAAGAUUACCCGCUGAACUUAA
rnacentral:misc_RNA from 1 species